rnacentral:rRNA from 1 species
GAUGAACGCUGGCGGCGUGCCUAAUACAUGCAAGUCGAGCGAACGGACGAUAAUCUUGCUUCUCUGAUGUUAGCGGCGGACGUGUGAGUAACACGUGGAUAACCUACCUAUAAGACUGGGAUAACUUCGGGAAACCGGCGCUUAUACCGGAUAAUAUUUUGAACCGCAUGGUUCAAAAGUGAAAUACGGUCUUGCUGUCACUUAUAGAUGGAUCCGCGCUGCAUUAGCUAGUUGGUAAGGUAACGGCUUACCAAGGCAACGAUGCAUAGCCGACCUGAGAGGGUGAUCGGCCACACUGGAACUGAGACACGGUCCAGACUCCUACGGGAGGCAGCAGUAGGGAAUCUUCCGCAAUGGGCGAAAGCCUGGCGGAGCAACGCCGCGUGAGUGAUGAAGGUCUUCGGAUCGUAAAACUCUGUUAUUAGGGAAGAACAUAUGUGUAAGUAACUGUGCACAGCUUGACGGUACCUAAUCAGAAAGCCACGGCUAACUACGUG